rnacentral:rRNA from 1 species
GACGAACGCUGGCGGCGUGCCUAAUACAUGCAAGUCGAACGCAUUUUCUUUCACCGUAGCUUGCUACACUGAGAGACGAUGGGUUGCGAACGAGUUAGUAACACUUGGUUAACCUGCCCAUCAACGGGGGAUAACACUUGGAAACAGGUGCUAAUACCGCAUAAUUCCAUUUACCGCAUGGUAAAUAGAUCAAAGGCGCUUUUGCGUCACUAUUGGAUGUACCCGCGGUGCAUUGGCAGGUUGGGGAGGUAACGGCCUACCAAGGGUGCGAUGCAUAGCCGACCUUGGAGGGUGAUCGGCCACACCGGGACUUAGACACGGCCCAGACUCCUACGGGAGGCAGCAGUAGGGGAUCUUCGGGAAUGGACGCAAGGCUGAACGGGCAACGCCGGGGGAGGGAAGAAGGGUCUCGGAUCGGUAAACUCCGUUGUUAGGGAAGAAAAAUGAGUAGAGUGGAAAGUGCACCCCUUGACGGUAUCUAACCAGAAAGCCACGGCUAACUACGUG